AAAGAAAAAGAAGGAGGAGGGAAGAGGAAGUCUCCUCCUUCCCCUUUAGAUACAGACAUGACUUUCUUUGUUUUUGUUCUCCAUUUUCCUCCUCCUCCCUUUGAUUCUAACGAAGGAGGAGAAGCUGAGG
rnacentral:ribozyme from 13 species